rnacentral:tRNA from 2 species
GCCGGGGUAGCUCAGUGGUAGAGCAGUGGCCUGAAGAGCCACGUGUCGUCAGUUCAAUUCUGACUCCCGGCACCA